AGGUGCAGUCUACCAUGCAGUCGAGCGGAUGAGGGGGCUUGCUCCUGGAUUCAGCGGCGGACGGGUGAGUAAUGCCUAGGAAUCUGCCUGGUAGUGGGGGAUAACGUCCGGAACGGGCGCUUUACCGCAUACGUUUGAGGGAAGUGGGGGAUCUCGGACUCGUUAUCAAAAGAUAGGGCGGAUUAGCUUGUUGUGGGGGAAAGGCUUCCAAGGGACCAUCCCAACCGGGUUGAGAGGAGACAGACCCCGGAAUUUAAACCGCCCAACCCCCACGGGGGGAAAAGGGGGAAUUUGCAUUGGGUAAAAAUUUUUUUUAGUCCCCGGGGAAAAAGAUCGUUUAAAAUUAUGU
rnacentral:rRNA from 1 species